GUAUGUUUGUGUAAUGGAUGCAGUGUGUGUAGCGUUUGUGCGUAGUGGAUGUAGUGUGAAGUGGAUAAAGUGUGUAAAGUGCAAGGUGGCAGUGUGUAAAGUAGCAGUAUGUAUAGUGUAAAGUGGCAGGGUGUACAGUGGAAGGUAGCAGUGUGUAAAGUGGCAGUGUGUAUAGUGCAAGGUGGUAGAGUGACGUGAGCAGUGGCAGUGUGUAUAGUGUAAUGAGGUACCUGG